rnacentral:rRNA from 1 species
UCGGGAAUUUUGCGCAAUGGACGAAAGUCUGACGCAGCAACGCCGCGUGAGGGAUGACGGCCUUCGGGUUGUAAACCUCUUUUAUCAGGGAAGAUAAUGACGGUACCUGAUGAAUAAGUCACGGCUAACUACGUGCCAGCAGCCGCGGUAAUACGUAGGUGACAAGCGUUGUCCGGAUUUACUGGGCGUAAAGAGCGCGCAGGCGGUCGUUCAAGUCGA